GAUGAACGCUGGCGGCGUGCCUAAUACAUGCAAGUCGAGCGAACAGACGAGGAGCUUGCUCCUCUGACGUUAGCGGCGGACGGGUGAGUAACAUGUGGAUAACCUACCUAUAAGACUGGGAUAACUUCGGGAAACCGGAGCUAAUACCGGAUAAUAUAUUGAACCGCAUGGUUCAAUAGUGAAAGACGGUUUUGCUGUCACUUAUAGAUGGAUCCGCGCCGCAUUAGCUAGUUGGUAAGGUAACGGCUUACCAAGGCAACGAUGCGUAGCCGACCUGAGAGGGUGAUCGGCCACACUGGAACUGAGACACGGUCCAGACUCCUACGGGAGGCAGCAGUAGGGAAUCUUCCGCAAUGGGCGAAAGCCUGACGGAGCAACGCCGCGUGAGUGAUGAAGGUCUUCGGAUCGUAAAACUCUGUUAUUAGGGAAGAACAAAUGUGUAAGUAACUAUGCACGUCUUGACGGUACCUAAUCAGAAAGCUACGGCUAACUACGUG
rnacentral:rRNA from 1 species